AUACUACACCUAUUAUCUGCAUCUAAACUCUCUCUCUCUCUCUCAAGUUCUUUGAAGCAAAGCUCUCUCCAUUUUCUGAAACACUUUCAUUUUACAACACGUUAUCAGCACGAAUAGCUCUAGGAUUCGGAUUGCAGAUUGACAAGAGAAGAGGUGAAUAACUCUUGGGUUGCAGAGAAGAGGCAGUUCAUCAUUCAAUCAACAUCACUCUACAAGCUCUACAACCAAGUACUUAACGAACCGGAAGUUCACACAUAAACAUUGAACCGGAAGUUCACACAUAAACAUUGAACCAAAAGUUCAUACAUAAAUGUUGAACCAGAAGUUCACAUGUAUCGAACCUGUAGUUUCGACAACACUGAAAGAUUAUGAACCUUUCCAAGUAGGCUCAUCCAACUAGAUGCGAUGUCUAGACCAGCUUGAGCCCAGCAGGCCCAUUUUCCUUCCGCAAGACCGAGCAGCCCAACAGGCCUCACACACUAUUUGACUAGUGCAUGAAAGCCUGGGUCACGAGCUUGCAGCUAAGCCCCGUACGUAGGCUUUAUUAUCAAUCCCACUCUUUCUUUGGUCCAGUAGAACCAAAUAAAAGGAAAAAUGAUUUGAUUCUACUGAGAUUUGAACUCAGACAACGUCCAUGUCAUUAUGGCUAUUGUAAUAAAUUCACCAUAUUUCAUAUGUGUAAUUAAUUGCCAGAAGCAUUUAUUCACAUAAUUGUGUGAUAAUUAAUAUGUUAUUUUACUAGCAUGCAAUUAAUAUCUCAAUUGAUUUGUGAUUUC